AAACCAGGCUGGGAUUCUGUAUAUUGACCAGGUAGGGUCUUGCCUUAACAGCUGGUGGGGAAAUGCCCCAUCCCUUUCAGGGAAGUGGGAUUGACUUUUCUGGUACAGCACUGAACCGAUCAGUUGUGGACAGAUUGGGGUUUGUGUUUGUUUGGGGCUGUUUUGGUGGGUUGGUUGGUUUGUUGGGUUUGGUCUGUUUAAUGCAGCAAUAACUCAUUAGCGAAGCUUCUUGAGUGCCAUGGGAAGGUUGUGAAAUGAGUGGUUGCUCCAUAUGAAAGUCAUAACAAGGCUUGUUUCUCAGAAAUGCAUAGCAAGGAUUUCUCCCUACAUGAGAAGUUGUGUAACGCAUGGGAGGAAGGGGGAAGGAUGGGCGCGUAGGGAACUGAAAUUGCCUUUCUGAACCCCUCUUAAUGCCUUUUGGUUCCUAAUGAGAGCUGAUAUGAUAGUAGCAAGAAGUGAAGGGAUUUAAAGUCAGGAGGAAGCUGCAGCACAGACCUGCAGCAGCCAAACUGCUGGAAGCCCUCAUCACCAGUAACCCUGCACAGAAAAGCCAGUGGGGAUCGGUCCCUGUUGCUCAUUUGACCUGAGCAAAGGCAGCUCCCGUGAUCCCAGCAGGAUCCCUGCACCUCCCUUCCACAGCGCAGCUCCUGCAGGGUGCUGCAAGGAAAUGCAUCCUAUGUGGCCAGCGAGCUUGGAUUUGCCUUUAGCUGCCCACUGGCCCAGAUCCCAGGGGCAGAAGGAGAGCACCAAGGAGGCACGUUCCCUAACUGUCCAUUCCGUGCGGUAAUGGAAAAUGAUUCAUCAGCCAUCACCAAGGAAACAGGGAGCAGGUCAGAAUAUGCUGCUUUACCUGGACUCAGGGUUUGGGUUCUUACAGAAACCGUGUCUUUAGAGUUCUUAAUUCAUAGGAAAAUUCCUGCUUGGCCUGAAAAGUUGGCUGGGGUUCUGUGGGUACUGAAGCUACUACCAGAAAACAACUGGAUUUUACUAUGCAGUGACUCAUGGAUUGUAAUUAACUCGGUUUAGAUGUGUUUUCGCUGCUGACAGUAAUCCAGCUAUGCCUGCUCUGCCCAAAACUGAUGGUAGAUUGACACAGAAGAGAAAUCCAGUUUAGUUUAAACCAGUGUAACCCGUGGUACCUUGUGGUGCUGCCGGAGCUCUUGGCUUUCCCAUCCCGCAGAGAAAUCGUUCCCCAGGCAGCUGCAGUUUAAUCUGUGUCCUUUCUGUUGAGGAGAGCCCUGCGGAGGAGCCGCGGGAGGAGGAUGAGCCAGGAGAUGGCAGUGGAGCUGAUCGCUGCCUGCUUCUCCAGGCAGCAAAUGAAGCGGAUGAAGGAAGGCAGCUUCUGCUCUGCCAGUAUCCAGACUGGGAUCCGAAGUAACUCACUGAAGUGGGAAACAUCUCCAACGUGCAGCUUGUUCCUAACUCCUUGCUAAUGCCCUGGUCCCUCAGGCGAUCACGUUGCUGAAGUGCUUCCCUAAUGAGAGCCGCUGAGCACUGUGUCCGUGUUGCAGUGACUCCUCAUGGCUCUUGCCAGCUCAAUUGUCUGAGCUCCUUUAGGAAUUGCACUGAGGCAGAGCCCAGAGUUUUGUCCUCGAGUGUUUUCUAAACGCACUCAGCACCUGGGGGCUGCGAUGAGACGUUUGUCACUCCGGUCAGCCUCUUCAGAACCCGUUGUGCUGAUCAGUGUCAGUUAUGUUGGGUGACUGGCAGGGAGUCGGAGGCUUUUUAGGCUUGGGUUAUGACAAAGCAGGCUGAGAUUGGACUUGCUUCCAUGGGUGAGAAUAGGAUUUCCAGCAGGAUGAGGGCAGCGUGCUCUAGGAGAGCUGCAGGUACUGAGAGCAUCACCUUGCUCUGCUCACCAGCACGGUGGUGAGAGCGUGGCCAACGUGUCCUGUGUGGAGAUGAUCAGUGUUACCUGGGCAUCUCCUGUGCCAGCUCAGCAGAAGCUCAUCCCAUCGAAUGAAAAGCCCAGUCUUGCUGCCUACAUUUCCUGUUUUCUCCAUGUUAUAUAGAACUGAACAUAUAAAAUACAGUGGCUGCUGAUGGGCAGUGAGCUAACCACUGCUCUGGUGAGUCCUUAUUGGGGACUUUCAAUGCUAAAUACAAAACCAAAGCCCAUGUCAACAGGAGGAACGCAGGGAGGUUCCAUGAAGUGAAUGGAGCUCGCUGUUGUCUUG